AUUGAACGCUGGCGGCAGGCCUAACACAUGCAAGUCGAGCGAGCGGCGGACGGGUGAGUAAUGUCUGGGAAACUGCCUGAUGGAGGGGGAUAACUACUGGAAACGGUAGCUAAUCCCGCAUACCAUCAGAUGUGCCCAGAUGGGAUUAGCUAGUAGGUGGGGUAAUGGCUCACCUAGGCGACGAUCCCUAACUGGUCUGGGAGGAUGGCCAGCCAAAAUGGAACUGGGACACGGUCCAGACGCACACGCGAGGCAGCAGUGGGGAAUAUUGGACAAGGGGCGAAAGCCUGAUGCAGCCAUGCCGCGUGUGGGAAGAAGACCUUCGGGUUGUAAAGCACUUUCAGCGGGGAGGCGUUACCCGCAGAAGAAGCACCGGCUAACUCCGUGCCAGCCGCCGCGGUAAUAC
rnacentral:rRNA from 1 species